CUACGGAGGGGGCUAGCGUUGUUCGGAAUUACUGGGCGUAAAGCGUACGUAGGCGGACUGAUCAGUUGGGGGUGAAAUCCCAGGGCUUAACCCUGGAACUGCCUUCAAUACUGUCAGUCUUGAGUUUGGGAGAGGUGAGUGGAAUUCCUAGUGUAGAGGUGAAAUUCAUAGAUAUUAGGAGGAACACCAGUGGCGAAGGCGGCUCACUGGCCCAUUACUGACGCUGAGGUACGAAAGCGUGGGGAGCAAACAGGAUUAGAAACCCCAGUAGUCC
rnacentral:rRNA from 1 species